rnacentral:rRNA from 1 species
GUGCCAGCAGCCGCGGUAAGACGAACCGUGCGAACGUUGUUCGGAAUCACUGGGCUUAAAGGGCGCGUAGGCGGGCCUCCCAGUCCGUGGUGAAAGCCCCCGGCCCAACCGGGGAAGUGCUGCGGAUACUGGAGGCCUCGAGGGGUGUAGGGGCAUGCGGAACUUCCGGUGGAGCGGUGAAAUGCGUAGAUAUCGGAAGGAACGCCGGUGGCGAAAGCGGCGUGCUGGACACCUACUGACGCUGAGGCGCGAAAGCCAGGGGAGCGAACGGGAUUAGAUACCCCGGUAGUCCUGGCCCUAAACGAUGGGUACUAGAUUGGGGGCCCCCGUGGGCCCCCAGUCGGAGCUAAAGUGUUAAGUACCCCGCCUGGGGAGUAUGGUCGCAAGGCUGAA